AACGUACGCUGGCGGCACGCCUAACACAUGCAAGUCGAACGAAGUAGCAAUACUUAGUGGCAGACGGGUGAGUAACAUGUAGGUAUCUGCCCUUUGGCCUGGAAUAACCCGAGGAAACUUGUGCUAAUACCGGAUAAGUCUUUACGGAGAAAGCUUUAUGCACCAUUGGAUGAGCCUGCACUUGAUUAGUUUGUUGGUGGGGUAAUGGCCUACCAAGACUGUGAUCAAUAGCUGAUUUGAGAGGAUGAUCAGCCACAUUGGGACUGAGACACGGCCCAAACUCCUACGGGAGGCAGCAGUGGGGAAUCUUGCACAAUGGAGGAAACUCUGAUGCAGCGAUGCCGCGUGAGUGAAGAAGGCCCUUGGGUUGUAAAGCUCUUUCGUCGGGGAAGAAAAUGACUGUACCCGAAUAAGAAGGUCCGGCUAACUUCGUGCCAGCAGCCGCGGUAAUACGAAGGGACCUAGCGUAGUUCGGAAUUACUGGGCUUAAAGAGUUCGUAGGUGGUUGAAAAAGUUAGUGGUGAAAUCCCAGAGCUUAACUCUGGAACUGCCAUUAAAACUUUUCAGCUAGAGUAUGAUAGAGGAAAGCAGAAUUUCUAGUGUAGAGGUGAAAUUCGUAGAUAUUAGAAAGAAUACCAAUUGCGAAGGCAGCUUUCUGGAUCAUUACUGACACUGAGGAACGAAAGCAUGGGUAGCGAAGAGGAUUAGAUACCCUCGUAGUCCAUGCCGUAAACGAUGUGUGUUAGACGUUGGAAAUUUAUUUUCAGUGUCGCAGGGAAACCGAUAAACACACCGCCUGGGGAGUACGACCGCAAGGUUAAAACUCAAAUGAAUUGACGGGGACCCGCACAAGUAGUGGAGCAUGUGGUUUAAUUCGAAGAUACGCGCAGAACCUUACCAACACUUGACAUGUUCGUCGCGACUCUAAGAGAUUAGAGUUUUCGGUUCGGCCGGACGAAACACAGGUGCUGCAUGGCUGUCGUCAGCUCGUGUCGUGAGAUGUUGGGUUAAGUCCCGCAACGAGCGCAACCCUCACUUUUAGUUGCCAUCAUUAAGUUGGGCACUCUGAAAGAACUGCCAGUGAUAAGCUGGAGGAAGGUGGGGAUGACGUCAAGUCCUCAUGGCCCUUACGUGUUGGGCUACACACGUGCUACAAUGGUAUCUACAACAGGAAGCAAGACUGCGAAGUUAAGCAAAUCCCUAAAAGAUACCUCAGUUCGGAUUGCACUCUGCAACUCGAGUGCAUGAAGCUGGAAUUACUAGUAAUCGUGGAUCAGCGUGCCACGGUGAAUGCGUUCCCGGGUCU
rnacentral:rRNA from 1 species